rnacentral:rRNA from 1 species
AUGGGGAUGUUUCACUUGCUGCUGCCGAUCCUUCUCUUCCAUGGCCUCCAUCGCGUGGCCUCGGGUGCCGCCGCUGAUGACGACCGCUUCGUCUUCUCCGGCUUCGCCGGCGCCAACCUCACCCUGGACGGCACGGCCACGGUCACGACGGACGGCCUCCUCCAGCUGACCAACGGCACGGUGCAGCUCAAAGGCCACGCGUUCUUCCCGGCCCCGUUCCGCCUGCGCGGGUCGCGCGGCGGCAGCGGGGUGCGGUCCUUCUCGGCCUCCUUCGCGUUCGGCAUCCUCACCACCUACCCCAACCUCAGCUGCCACGGCAUCGCCUUCGUCGUCGCGCCCAGCAGCAACUUCUCCGGCGCGCUCGCCGCGCAGUACAUGGGCCUCGCCAACAUCGACAACAACGGCAACGCCAGCAACCGCAUCUUCGCCGCCGAGCUCGACACCAUGCAGAACAUCGAGUUCGACGACAUUGACAACAACCACGUCGGCAUCAACAUCGACGGCCUCCGCUCGGUGCGGUCGCACACCGCGGGCUACUACGACGACGACGAUGGCGAGAACGGCACCUUCCAUGGCAUGAGCCUCAUCAGCGGCGACGUGAUGCGGGCGUGGGUGGACUACGACGGAGAGGCCGCGCGGAUCGACGUCACCAUUGCCCCCUUGGAGAGGCCCAGGCCGGCAAGGCCACUCGUCUCUGCAACCUACAACCUCUCGGACGUGCUAACGGAGCCGGCGUACAUCGGCUUCUCCUCCGCGACCGGCCCGAUCGACUCUCGCCACUACAUUCUUGGUUGGAGCUUCGGCGUGGACGCGCCUGCUCCGGCCAUCGACAUCACCAAGCUGCCAAAGCUGCCUCGUCUUGGCCCCAAGCCACGAUCCAGGGUCCCGGAAAUCGUUGUGCCAAUUGCUAUUGCAGCAUUUCUCCUGGCUCUCGGCGUGGCUGCGGCCCUCGUCGUGCGGAAGAGGCUGAGGUACACCGAGCUACGGGAAGACUGGGAGACGGAGUUCGGGCCGCACCGGUUCUCGUACAAGGAUCUGUUCCAUGCCACCGACGGGUUCGACGACAAGCGCCUACUCGGCGCGGGAGGGUUCGGCAGCGUGUACAAAGGGAUGCUUCGGACAUCUAAGCUGGAAGUGGCUGUGAAGAGAGUGUCCCACGAAUCGAGGCAGGGCAUCAAGGAGUUCGUCGCCGAGGUUGCCAGCAUCGGCCACAUCCGGCACCGCAACCUCGUGCGGUUACUCGGUUAUUGCCGGAGGAAAGGCGAGCUUCUUUUGGUGUAUGACUACAUGCCCAAUGGCAGUCUUGACAAAUAUCUGCACUGCUAUGACGGCGGGGACAAGCACGAGCCAAUACUGAAUUGGGCUCACAGGUUUCAGAUCAUCAAAGGCGUUGCAUCUGGAUUGCUCUACCUCCACGACAAGUGGGACAAAGUUGUCAUUCACCGGGACGUCAAAGCAAGCAACAUACUCCUCGACAAGGAAAUGAACGGGCGGCUAGGUGACUUUGGCCUGUCGAGGCUAUACGACCAUGGCACCGACCCCCAAACCACGCAUAUGGUUGGCACCAUGGGGUACAUGGCCCCGGAGCUUGUGCGCACGGGCAAGGCGUCACCUCUCACAGAUGUGUUUGCCUUCGGCACGUUCCUCCUCGAGGUUACAUGCGGACAAAGGCCUAUCAGGGAAGACGACGCACAAGGCGAUAGUAUUCUGUUGGUCGACUGGGUGCUCGAGCAUUGGCAUGGCGGGACACUCCUGGAGACGAUGGACCCAACACUGCAAAAUGACUACAAUGUCGACGAGGCGUGCCUUGUGCUCAAGCUUGGGCUGCUGUGCUCACACCCACACGCCAAUGCAAGGCCAAGAAUGCAACAGGUCAUGGAGUACCUUGACGGCGACACGCCGGUCCCGGAGUUGGCUUCAACGCAUCUGAGCUUCGGUGUACUAGCCCUAAUGAAAAACAAUGGUUUUGACCCGCAUGUACUGGCAUAUCCUCCAUCUUCAGUGCUCAGCAUCGGCACUAUAUCUGAUCUAUCCGGAGGAAGAUGA